UACGUAGAGCGCAAGCGUUGUCCGGAAUUAUUGGGCGUAAAGAGCGCGUAGGCGGUCCGGUAAGUCCGCUCUGAAAGUCCGGGGCUCAACCCCGGGAGGCGGGCGGAUACUGUCGGGCUAGAGUCCGGAAGAGGCGAGUGGAAUUCCUGGUGUAGCGGUGAAAUGCGCAGAUAUCAGGAGGAACACCAAUGGCGAAGGCAGCUCGCUGGGACGGUACUGACGCUGAGGCGCGAAAGCGUGGGGAGCAAACAGG
rnacentral:rRNA from 1 species